rnacentral:rRNA from 1 species
AUUGAACGCUAGCGGGAUGCUUUACACAUGCAAGUCGAACGAGUGGCGGACGGGUGAGAAAUAUAACGGAACGUGCCCAGUAGCGGGGGAUAAAUACUCGAAAGAGUGGCUAAUAACGCCUACUAUUGGAGCGGCCGAUAGCGGAUUAGCUAGUGGGUGGGGUAAAGGCUAACCAAGGCAACGAGCCGUAGCUGGUGUGAGAGGACGACCAGCCACACUGGGACUGGGACACGGCCCAGCCUCCUACGGGAGGCAGCAGUGGGGAAUUUUGGACAAUGGGGGAAACCCUGAUCCAGCCAUCCCGCGUGUAUGAGAAGGCCUUCGGGUUGUAAAGUACUUUUGGCAGAGAAGCGGUAUCUGCAGAAUAAGCACCGGCUAACUACGUGCCAGCAGCCGCGGUAAUUC